UGUAGAAUACCAAGUUGUUGUUAAUUUGUGAGAACUAUUGAAAUUUUAAACUAAAAAUCACUUUUAUAUAUACGACCAUGAGACUUACAUAUGUUUGUCAAAAACUACCAUAACUGUCUUUUGUCAAAGCAAACUUGCAGUGUAAUCUUACCAUUAUUUUCUACAGAUAGAGCAAAAUCCUUUUGGCUUUUGCAAUGCAUUGUUUCCCCAGACAACAAAUCAGAAUGCAAACGACUUGUUAUAUUCAGAAACAUUGAAUUAAACCCCAAUUUAACAAGGAUUCAUGCCUCUCAUACUCCCCUUGGGUUAUUAAACAACUUCUAUUUAUGUCUAAUUGAGACAAUUCUUCCAAUCCUAUGCAGAUUUAAUCUCCUACACAGAUUUAAUCUCCUACAUCAAUUACAAACACAACAGAGCCAUUAGCCGUAUAGCUUAACAACAAAAUAAGCAAAACUUAUACCUUUAUAAAUGAAGAUGAAUAAGAUCACUAUCAUGUUUCUUGUAAUUUGUUUAGUGAGUGAUAUAAAUUAGAGCUUACACCCUUGAUUACAGGGAAGGACAAAAGUGUGUGUAGAUACGAAAAACAUAACUCAAGACAAGGAAUGAAACAAUGAAGAUGUCACACCCCGAAAACCAAAGGCGGAAACAUUUCCGGGGUUGACUCCACGUUGAGUAUCAAAUCCAAUGUACAUAGUAAUCACAGUAAACAACCAUUACAUUACAUAUAUUUGAAAGUUUACAUUUGUUUCAAAAGUAAAUUGUACAAGUUUUAUACAUAUAUCAUAUGAACAAAAGUUGAGACGAGUCUUCUGAGCACUCUGUCUUCACCAAAAGAUAUCGCCGGGUACCUGUCUAACGUGGACCUGAGAAUACAAGCAGUUUGAAAAUCAGCAUAAAGCUGGUGAGUUCAUAAGCAGUUUUGUUUUGUGAAAAUGUACCAGUUUCCUUUAGUUUUUCCGAAAAGGUUUGUUAUCCAAGAAAAUCUCAUAUUUUCUUAUGUUAAACAGUUUAGUUAUCUUUCAUUACAGUUCAAUUACGCGUUAUACGAUACCCCAGGAAAAUCCCAUAUUUUCCUAAAUGCAAGACCGAUUGAAUAACACAGAGUAUAGUUUAAUACACAAAACUAUAUAUUGAGAAUCAUAGGAUUACUAUCCCGAAUUAGAUAUAAAAUACUUUAAUAUACACGAACUGUAGAUAGAAAGUAGUUUGAAAACCUUGGGACUAACAUCCCGAACUAGAUACAAGAUAGUUUGAUAUACUUGAAAAUAUAGAUUGAAAACCAUGGGAAUACCAUCCCGGACUAGAUACAAAAUAGUUUGUUAGAAACCAUGGGAUUACUAUCCCGAACUAGAUAUAUGAUAGUUUGAUAAAACCAUGGGAUCACUAUCCCGAAUUAGAUAUAAGAUUUUUUAAUAAAACCAUGGGAUCACUAUCCCGAACUAGAUAUAGAUUCUAACCAUAGGAAUAACAUCCUGCAAUAGAUAUGAACCCUGUAGACUAAAAACCAUGGGAUUACCAUCCCGAACUAGAUAUAAGAUCUAAAGAUAGAAGAUUGAUAUAAAAUCAAAUCCAAAACCAAAGCCGUGAAUAAACUUAUAUUAAUACGUAUUGUGAGUCGGGUAACCAUGCUGAUACAACAACGAGACCUCCUUGACGCUUGUCAGACGUCGGACGAUAUCCAGAAUUUGUCACCCCAGGCGUGCCCGCCUAACUGUAGCUAGCAGUUAAGGUGUGGGAUUGUCAGUCCCGAAUAGAUCUAUUCACAAAUUCCUCGCUCUCCCUCCAGGAGACUCUGGUUACACUUCCGGGGAGGAUUUACUGAUCAUCCAUAAAGGGUAGUGACUAACUCACAAACUAGUACUAAACUAUUAACAGGGUUCUCAUACGAUAUCAAACAUACAAAAGAUUAUGAAACAUAAUACAGUGAAUAUAGGUACAUACUAUGAAACUAUCUGACAAUACAUUCAAAUGAUACGGAGAUAAACUGAAUCAGACAUAGUUUAUCUAAUAACUUUAUAUACAUAUCAGUACAUGAUAAAACGAACACUAAAGAACCCCAAAUUAUUCCUAUAAUAAUUUGAUUAGUUUGAUUAUUUUCUUAACUAAAAUCCAUUUAGUUGUACUUGAUAAAUCAUCCCUUAUGCUCAGCAUAAUACAUAAAGGGUAAAAAUGUUUAUAAGUUUGCCAGAUAUUAUUUGAAACAUAUCAAUGUUAUAAUUCGAAAACACUUAUAGUUUGCUUGUAUUCCCCCCUGAAAACAUUGAAAAACACGGAAAAAGCGUAGGGGUAUGAACUCACCGGACGAGAAACAUGACGAUUUAGGAUGCUAAACGUUGGAUCGGGGCUUGCAAACGUACGAUAUUCCUAUGUAUAAUGAAAAGAUACACAUUUGUAUCUAAUUAGGACUUAGAUUAUUUAAUUGUUAGGGACAAACACUUUUAGUCGCGGAUACACCCCAUUACAAGUGUGUGGAAGGACUCGGGUGGCGUUUAAGGACUUGAAUGACCGGGAAAUGGAGUUUACUCUUCAAGAGUAAACUCAUACAAGAGUUUUCAGCCAAUAACACCCACUCCCCAUGAGUUUACGGCAGUAAACUCAUGGUGGGGUCAUUUGUGGGCAAAAUGGCUAUUGACACUUAAGGGGAAAAUUUCUAGGUUUGGUUUAAGGGCUUGGAAUAAAUUUUAAACACCAAAUGGACAUACUUAAGGGAGUUUACGGCCUAGCAUGGGACUCAUGGCCGUAAACUCCUAUAUACCCAUGAAUAAUUGUGUUAAUGAUUCCAAACAAAUCACAUGUGAUUGCUAAAAUUGUUCCAAGGCCUUACAUGAAUUUUUAUGGAACUUUUGAGGUGUUUUUGGAGUUUACGGCCCAUGAGACCCCCCUCAUGGCCGUAAACUCUCCUAGAGUGUGAUUCAUUAUGUUUUAAGGCCAAAAAACUUGUUUGUAUACACUUCUAAAAAUUAUUCUAAGGCUUUAGGGGUGUUAAAGUGGCUUUCUAACACCUUUGGAGGAGUUUACUCCCCAUAUUAUGGAGUUUACGGCCCAAGCAUAAGCCUUGGCCGUAAACUCUCAUUUGUCCCUCAAAAUAUAUGUUUAAGGCCCUUAAACCAUUUUUAGUUGGUUCUAUGAUUUAUUCCAAGGCUUUUGGUGAAGGUAUAUGACUUUAUAACAUGUUGAAAAUGAGUUUAUACUCAUGUUUGAGGGGUUUACGGCCCAAAGCAUGUGCCUUGGCCGUAAACUCCUUCAAAUCCCUCAAAAUCCAUGUCUAAAGUGUUCUAAGUCCAUUCCAUGAAGUCAUUUAGCCAUAUCUAAGUCCCAAAAUUGUUUAGGAGGGGUUUAAAGGCAUAAAAACCCCUUUACUAUGUGUUUACGGCCCAAGCUCCUUCCAGGGCCGUAAACUCAUAUACAAGGUCUUAAUUCAUGUUUUAAUCUCGAAUUUGAAGGCCAAAUAUGCUAUACAAUGAGUUUAGGAAGGUACCUUAGAGAUUUGAGGCCUUAAAAUUGAGUUUUGGACCCUUAAACUUAGAUUUAGGAGAGAGGUUAGAGAGAGAGUAGUGAGAGAGAGAAAAAGCUUCAAAUGAAAGGUUUAACACGUUUAUAUAGGUCGCAAAACUUGGACACGGUGGAAUUCUACCCGAUACCGGCAUUAAACGGGGCUUUUGGUCGCACCCGAUUAAGUUUCUGAGACUCGGCGGGGACGUUCCUAAUAUUUAUGAAAUACAUAUUUUAGGCUAAUUUCAUGAGUUCCUAAGGGGUUUGGACACUCAUUAGCAUCAAUUAAAUAUAUAUAAGUUAAAUUAACUUAACCCAAAAACGACAUCAGAAUGUUUCGAUAUACGACGAGUUAUACGGGUAGAACGGGGUUUUCGGCGAUGAACAACUUCGGGUUGUUACAGAAGAAAUAGUCACCUUCCGUUGAAGAACCUUGGCACUCUGUUCUUUCUCGUUAAAGCGAAGUAAUUGGGGCUUUCUUCAAGUUCAAAUUCAAACUUUCUUAUUAUGCUUCAGAUUCAGCUUCAGAAGCAGAAGCAGAAGAAGUAGCACCAGCAGAAGCAGAAGAAGUAGAAGCAGAAGUAGAAGCAGCAGCAAAAGCAGAAGCAGCAGAGGAAGAGGAAGAUGAAGAGGAAGAGGAAGAGGCAGCAGCGCCAGCAAAAGAAGAAGAAGAAGAAGUGACCUGUGACAGCUCACAUCCCGAUAAACUUAAAACAGAGAGUUUCCGGAGACUGAGAAUAACACCUACCCAAUGAUUUGUUUUGGCCAAUGAAAUCCCAUCCAUGUGAAGUUCCUCCAAAUGAGAUAGAUUAGACAACCACUCGAGGUUCUCAAAUCUACACCUUCCAGCAUAUGAAAGGAGAAGCCAUUGCAAGUUGGUGAGGUUUCCGAACUCUGGAGGAAUGGUUCCAUGAAAAGAGUUAGAUGAAAGGUCAAGGUACCAUAAUUCAGUCAAGGAACCAAUGGACCUGGGAAUGGUACCAUUAAGAUUAUUGCCGCCAAGGAGAAGGGACCUUAAAUGAGUCAACGAACCAAUGAAGGUGGGAAUGGUUCCAUGAAAAGAAUUUCCGGAAAGAUCAAGAUAGUUCAAGUAGGUUAAGUUAACCAAUGAAUGGCUAAUCUCACCUACAAGACCACAGGACAUCAGAUCAAGCUCUGUGACAUGACCACCUUUUUGGUUGUUGCACGUCACUCCACUCCAUUCACAGCAGUUGUCUUGUUCAGCUGUCCACGUAGAGAGACGAUCAUAUAAGGGUCUUGAAUGUGAGAUUUGAAAUGAAGGAGACCAUCUCUCUCCUUCUCAAAACACUUAUCAUCUCCUCCUCCCACUUCUGCGCGCCAAUUGGUUGGCAGUUGUAGUCUCAAGACAGAAGAAGAGAAGUGAGAAUAUUAUAAAAACACAAGGACUCAUGAUGUAAAUGCAAAUCUUGGUGAUUUUUUUUGUUUGUAUGGAUGAAAAUUUAAAGAUGCUCCAUGCAGCUUUAUAUAGUGCUGCAAACUGUGAAAAUGAAGGAUUCAGUAAUUCUCGUGAGAACGGUAGGAACAUAAUUCUUUUUUCCUUUUUUUUUCAUCAAUAUGAAAACAUUUUAUAAGGCUAAAAAAUAAUAAAUUCUGGGAUUUUUUUUAUUAAAAUAAAACACUAAAAAGAUGAAAAAUCAAUUCCAUAUUCAUCAAUGAAAUAAAAUGCGCUAUAAAACACAUCCUACAGCAACAACCAUAUAGAUGUCUAUUUAUAGGUCAUAAAAAGAUAUUAUGGUAUUUUUGUUUUUAUUUUUUAAAAAAAAAAUAAUGCCGUAAUAGAUAAAAAAAUUUAACAAUACUCCUCAAUGAAAACAUCAUAAUAAAAACUUUGUACAUCGAUAUGGAUGUAUAGCUGUACAACAUAAAAAUAUAUAAAUUUGGGUCUUUUGUUUUUUUUUCUUCGAAAAAUAAUAUUACCUUAAAAAAAAAUACUGAAAUUUAUUAUUUUUAUGCUCUAAAAAAAGAUAUCAAUAUAAAAGGUUCCUACCAUUUUUAACAAGAAUUAUCUUUCUUGCGUUUACACUUUAUACACACCUAGUGAGUUGUGAUUCGUGUGGAGCAUAAAAUCCUUAUUUUCCUUUGAAAUAGAACCAAAGUAUAAAAGAAAUUAGAAAAGACGAAUUGAAAUAAACUGCCCCAAAUCAAACGUUCAAAGAUUUAUACACUGUGUAAGGCAUAAAAGCCUUAUUUUCCUUGAAAUAGAACCAUUCAAACUAUAAAACAAAUUUAUAUUAAAAAAAAAAAAAAAAAAAAAAAAAGGACAAUUGUAAUGGAUAGCUAGCCCCAUAUUAGACUUUCAGGUCAUGGAAAUUUGUAUUUUUCCUAUACAUAUCUUUUUUCAUCUAGUCAUAUCUUUUGAUCCUCUCUUUAUGUCAUUGUAAAUUCACAAAAGCAAACCAAUCAUUCAGGAAAAAGGACAAAUGGUGGGUUAGUGCCUGGAAACAACCAUAUAUAGCUAGCUGUCCAGAUCAAGUGCUUAAUUAUUAAGCCUAUUAAGUCAUAAAGAAUCAGUCCCUAAUUGCAUAAGAGCUGAGUGAUAAAUGAUGAGUCUCCAGAGAAUGUAUUGGAUAAAAUAAGGCUAAUUAUUUAUGUAUUUUGGAUUGAAUGAACCAUUUGAAUAAGAGAAAACAACCAUUUUACCCUUCUAUCUAAAAGUAAUGUAGAAUACCAAGUUGUUGUUAAUUUGUGAGAACUAUUGAAAUUUUAAACUAAAAAUCACUUUUAUAUAUACGACCAUGAGACUUACAUAUGUUUGUCAAAAACUACCAUAACUGUCUUUUGUCAAAGCAAACUUGCAGUGUAAUCUUACCAUUAUUUUCUACAGAUAGAGCAAAAUCCUUUUGGCUUUUGCAAUGCAUUGUUUCCCCAGACAACAAAUCAGAAUGCAAACGACUUGUUAUAUUCAGAAACAUUGAAUUAAACCCCAAUUUAACAAGGAUUCAUGCCUCUCAUACUCCCCUUGGGUUAUUAAACAACUUCUAUUUAUGUCUAAUUGAGACAAUUCUUCCAAUCCUAUGCAGAUUUAAUCUCCUACACAGAUUUUUAUGAAACCAAUUAGAAAAGUUCCAACCUCCAACAUAAACAUUAACCCAGAAACAACUCUAAUUUAUGGAAUCUAUUAAAAAUUUGUCAAUUGAAACAAAAAGGCACCGUUUAACGUCAAAACUGAAAAUUAAUAAUAAUAAUAAUAUUAAAUGUGAGCAAGAGAAACAUUAUUCAACAGAAAAUGGAGAACAGAGAGUCGAGAAGAAAAAUCGAGAUUAAGAGAACAAAAAGAGAAUAGAUAUAUCGAGUAUUGAAUAGUUGAGAUGAUCCAACAACUUACCUGAUGGAAGACCGAGGGAGGAACGACGAAGACAUCUUGGAACAGUGAUGGAAGAUGGAGAAGAGAAGACGAAGUGAAGGCUGUAAAAACUGAAAAGAAAAGUAGGGUUAAAGGAGGACGAGGAUAAACGAGUAAAAAUCAAAUUCAUAAGCUAAAAGGGGAUAACAAAACCAAACCCACAAACCAAAAAAUCAAUAAUCAACUAGAAAUGUAACCCAUGCUAUGGACGGAGGCGUUUUAGAGCUGCAAAUGUUUUUUUUCUUUAUUUAUAUAAUGCAUGUUUGUUUUUGAAGAUGAAGUUUUUCUGUUAAUGUAAGACAAUUGAUAAAUUGAAAACCACAUCACAAUGUUAUUACAAAUGUAAAAUUGUAACUCUAAAAUAUUUAGAGUUUUCCCAAGAUAUUCUGAUGAUGGAGUAAUGAAUUUGAUACAAACCUUCAUCAAUCGGUACUAAUUCCCUGCAAGCUUUUUACUAUUUUCACCUAAGGGGUAAAAACAGAAAGAAAUCAACAUUAUUUGAUUCACAAUGAUUGCAAGUAUUUUUUUCAUUUAAUUAAGAAUGCAAAAUGUACUUGCUCAUCUUUACAAAUAUAACCUUUCAUCCACCUCGAAAAUGGCAAUAUUCAUAUUCUCAUGCAUUGCUACACUCCUUUCUUUUGAGUACCAAAAAUCAUACCUACCUAAAAUAUUUUCACUCUUCACCAACAUACCAUAGGGACAAAACCUAUAUCCCGUGCAAUUUUGGUCAAUCCUAAAAGUUGUUAGUAGAAAAUAAAUUUGUUUUAAAAGGAUAAAGAACAUGCUCCAUGAUUCAAAAUAAUGGAAUAGAAAUGAAAUUAGAGUCUAUAUACUUGGAUGGAAUGGAAUAAGCAAGGUUGCUUUGGUAGAAAUGGAACAAACUUACUUAAUAUAUAUUUUAAAGUUAAAGAUAAUAGAAGCUUACUAACCCAAAUAAGGUAUAACAAAAAUAAGAGUGAGCUACAAAUUUGGUACCUAUGGCUAUACUACAGUUAAAAUUGCAAAACUCGCCGGUUUUAAGAGCCCCUUUCUUUGUAUCUUGCAUGGUGUCCAUCGUUUUGAAACACUACAAAAUUUCACUGACAAACUAUUAGUAUUCAGUUCGGAUAAAGCUAAAGGAUAAAGCUAAAUCAGUUAAACAAACCCAUGAAUUAACUAACCCCUAAUCAAAAUCCUAAUACGCUGACUGUCGGCCAAAGCCUUCCUGCAAGCAUACUGAAAAAGAAAAAAAAAUCUUAAAGAUAGAAACUGAUACCAUUUCACUUCACAAUCCACUAUCAUCACUAUUAACAUAUAAAUUUGAAACCAAAUCAUAAAAGUAUUUCAUAGGAUUCACUUGUUCUUCAUCGAUCUGAUAUUACAAGUGCUUGUCGUCCAAAAAUCAUCAGAAAGAAUAGAUAUUUUCAUAGUUUUGCCUUGUACACAUAUCAUAAGUAAUGAACUCUCAAUGUACUUGAUGUAAAUUUGGACUUGAAAUAAUGUCACAAAAAGGGUAAGUGCAAUGUUAUUAUGUGAUAUUUAAGAAAGUAGAAUGCUAAUUUUCAACUUCAAAGAGCUAACUAAAAGUAAACACCAAAUUGGAUACAUACACAAAAUAUUACAUAAGAAUUGCAAUUGUUCCAUUUUAUUUCAAUCUUUCAGCUGUUUUGCAUUGUUCCAUGUCAAUGAAAUUGAUAAAUUUAGAUAUUUAAUACAUAAUUCAAAAUCAAGAAUUAUUAAAAUUAUUUAUAUUUUUAUACUGACACUUUAACCAUUUCUUGGAAAUGUGGAAACGUAGCUAUAACAGAUUAUAUGCUGGGGACACAAAUAUUGUCUUCUACUAAUAUAUUCUGGGAAAUUUAAUAAUUAGAAAAUAUGACUAUGGUACAUAUAAAGUGAUGUUCAAUGUAAAAAAAAAUGGUCGUUUCUAAUAAUUUACCUUUAUGGGGAAGUUGCUAACAGUAACAUUGAUACACACCAUUACACCUUAUGCAAAACAUAAGCUUGUUUGGGUCACCGGUCCUUUUACAUACCUGGGUUUUAGAAAAGAUAUGUAUACAAAUUAAAAAAGCAGCAUUUUUAUUAUAUUCAAAGUCCUUACCGGUAAUAUAGGCUAAAUACAAAACUCAAAAUCAAAAAACAACAUCAUGAACGCCUUAAAAGAGCUCAAAAAACAAUUAAAAUCUACAACCCCUGUGAUAAAUGAACUAACAACCUAGAUCAAUGGAUUUACCUUCGCAUUCCUGCAAGUGCCAAUACAUCGGACUUAUAAUUCUUUGCUACUUCAUAGUUACUCAGACAACCACCUAAAUCAUUAUAGCAAACCCUCCCUUCCGUUGAAACGGCUUCUAAAUCUAAGAAAAUUAGCACAGGAGCAAUCUUGACACCCAAAUAUUAGACAAUAGUUUUCUCAUCCAACACGCCAGAGAACAAAUUGGCUGCUAAAAACAAACCUUUUAAGGAUUAACAUAACAAACUUGUUAAAUUUUAGAAAACCUGACACAAAUACCUGGAGAAAAAAAAAAGCAUACAUCUAUAAAAAAUUUCUUGCUUCUUGCUUUCAAAAGACUGUUUGAGGGAGAUGGGGGGUCAAUUUUUCAUAGGGAAUAGCUCUGCGAGCUGCAAAAAGAAAAUGAAAACAUAAAAAUCAACAUGUUGACAUCAUAAAAUCCCGAAAUAAUCAUACCGAUAUAAUAAGAAUCUAGGUCAAUAGAGCAUAAAUCAUAAAUCGAUGACUUCAACAUAAAUCAGAUACAUAACUCCAAAAUAAGUACCGACGAUGUCAAUAGCGUAAGUCUGAAGAGUGCGGUUGAAUUAUGAUCGAUGAAUUUGAUCAGAACUUGAAGAGGAACCCACCGACAAAAAAAAAAAACUGUAUUAGAAUGCUUCAAAUUCAAUGAAUUGAGACAAUAAGUAUCUAGCCAGGAAGAUUAAAAAACAGAUAAAAUAAAUAAAAUGAAUCGACUUCUUGAAGAUGUUGAAAAUUACCAAAUUGGAACCCCGACUUCAAAUUAAAUCUGACAACCUGGAACAUGAAGGACGGUAACGGCGGCAACAAAUGUUUGAGGGUAUCUAAAUUCUUAGUCAAAGAAGAAGCAGAAAGAUCGGUGGCUGAUAUGGAUAACAGAAAAAGAUAACCCACCUAGGGUUUGGAAGUGAGACAGGGAAGUCGAUCGAAAAAAGAAGUGAGCUUCACAAAUUCCAGAAGUAGGAAUUAAUAGGCUUCAUCUCGUUUCCAGAAAAAUGAACGAUUAGCUUGAAGCAGGAAAAGUUCGUCUGGUGGUAGCAAUAGAUGAUUUUGUGGGUUCAUUAGUUGGGAAUUUUGAGGUCUUCUUCUCAACCUGUACCGGCACAGCUUUGAGCGAUUAGGGACGAUCUGCCUCUUUUCAAUCUGCUAUGCUUUUCGCCCCUCAAUCAGUCGAUUGUAAGUGUUGUUGGACCGCGAGAAGUAGUAUUGGAGACUUUGUGAUCGGGUGAGAGAUGGUCUGUAGGAAUUGUUCCAUCUUGUAAACGAUUGAAUGUUCAAAUAGAUGGUGAUUGAAAGAAAUCAGGGUUUGUGAGACAUUGUUGCGAUCGGAAUGAACAACGGGAUGGGGAAUGCAGCUGCAGAUGCCAGCUUGGCCGGAACAGCCAUAAAAAACAGGUGCAUCAAACAGAAACGAUAAUGUAAAAAAAACAGAGUAGCAUAAAGAAAAUAUAGAAGCCUAACGGAGAGAAAUUACCUGGGGAAGAAAAGAACGUACAACGAAAAGCAAAAGCGGCGGAGUUUCAGCGAAGAAGAAUGCGGAAGAAAGAAGAGAGUACAAGAGAGUACCACGUGGAAAGUGAAGGACAGUGAAAAAGACACGUAUAAUCUACAAUGAUUCGUCAGCAACCGGCGGAUGAAG
rnacentral:lncRNA from 1 species